UAGGUAGUACCGCACCACCGAUGUAACAUACCUUGAACUUCAUUGUUCUUAGGGAUAAAAUAUAUAAAUAAAAAUACUCCCCUUGUAAGAGGCAGAGAAAUAGAGCCAAUGUAUCAAAAGUUCCAGACAAAGACUCUAGAACAUAGGAAGUUCCAUUACUGUUUGCAUGAAGAUGCUAUAAACACUAAAACCAGGCAACAACUGUGGGUCACAGAGGAAAUAAAUGCAAAAGAACUUUUCUAAGGUUGCCCAGGACAACAAGACUGUAGAGCACUCAUGAUGAAACUGUCAAAGAGAACUAGACUUGAGGGACCUUUGGGAGAAAAGAGAUUUGAAAAUAAUGUACUGCCUGCCCAUGGUUCAGACGUGCCUGUCUCUAGAGAUCACAAAAUUGAAGUAUGUGUCGUCAGGUUCCAGAAACAUCAGGAAGGACUGAGACAGUCAAAUGAUUUCUAACCAAGUAACUGUACCACAAGCAAAUUGGGUCACCAUAAACACCAUGUAAAUGAUAAUAAGAGUUAAUAUUUGU